rnacentral:rRNA from 1 species
AUUGAACGCUGGCGGCAUGCCUUACACAUGCAAGUCGAACGGUAACAGGUUAAGCUGACGAGUGGCGAACGGGUGAGUAAUGUAUCGGAACGUGCCCAGUCGUGGGGGAUAACUACUCGAAAGAGUGGCUAAUACCGCAUACGACCUGAGGGUGAAAGCGGGGGACCGUAAGGCCUCGCGCGAUUGGAGCGGCCGAUAUCAGAUUAGCUAGUUGGUGGGGUAAAAGCCCACCAAGGCGACGAUCUGUAGCUGGUCUGAGAGGACGACCAGCCACACUGGGACUGAGACACGGCCCAGACUCCUACGGGAGGCAGCAGUGGGGAAUUUUGGACAAUGGGCGCAAGCCUGAUCCAGCCAUGCCGCGUGCGGGAAGAAGGCCUUCGGGUUGUAAACCGCUUUUAGCCGGGAAGAAAAGGGCAGGGCUAACACCCUUGUCUCUUGACGGUACCGGCGGAAUAAGCACCGGCUAACUACGUGCCAGCCGCCGCGGUAAGAC